GUAUAAUGCACAGCGAUCAACAUAACGGGAGACGCUCGUGAUUAUCGCGGAAUGUAUUUUUCGGAAUUCGCGUUUUAGAUCGUUUAGAAAAUAAGUCGCUCCAUAAAUGUCACAUCACGGUUAUUUUUCUAUCGCCUUUAAUUUCAGAGGGGUGAAACUACUACGCUAUCCCGACUUUUUAUUUUCAAACGGCAACCAAUACCGGAAACUCCAUAAACAGACGGAGUAUUGGUUCAAAUACGUUUCGAUGAGGCGAUAUCUGAUUUCCGUCCACCCGUUGACGAGGUGUUCCACAUUUAAGUAUGGACAAGGGGACGCUAUUAAAACGCCGCGCGCCGUGCCGCUCUCCUCCCACCGAAAUUUAAAUGUGG